CGCUGGCGGCACGCCUUAUACAUGCAAGUCGAACGCAGUAGCAAUACUGAGUGGCAAACGGGUGAGUAUAAUGUGGGUAUCUGCCUUUUGGUUUGGAAUAACACGAGGAAACUUGUGCUAAUACCGAAUAAGCCCUCACGGGGAAAGUUUUAACGCCGAAAGAUGAGCCCGCACUUGAUUAGCUAGUUGGUGAGGUAAAGGCUCACCAAGGCAACGAUCAAUAGCUGUUCUUAGAGGAAGACCAGCCACAUUGGGACUGAGACACGGCCCAGACUCCUACGGGAGGCAGCAGUAAGGAAUCUUGCACAAUGGGGGAAACCCUGAUGCAGCGAUGCCGCGUGAGUGAAGAAGGCCCUUGGGUUGUAAAACUCUUUCGUCGGGGAAGAAAAUGACUGUACCCGAAUAAGAAGGUCCGGCUAACUUCGUGCCAGCAGCCGCGGUAAUACGAAGGGACCUAGCGUAGUUCGGAAUUACUGGGCUUAAAGAGCUCGUAGGUGGUUAAAAAAGUUGAUUGUGAAAUCCCAAGGCUCAACCUUGGAACUGCAAUCAAAACUUUUUAGCUUGAGUGUGAUAGAGGAAAGUGGAAUUUCUAGUGUAGAGGUGAAAUUCGUAGAUAUUAGAAAGAACAUCAAAUGCGAAGGCAACUUUCUGGGUCACUACUGACACUGAGGAGCGAAAGCAUGGGUAGCGAAGAGGAUUAGAUACCCUCGUAGUCCAUGCCGUAAACGAUGUGUGCUAGACGUUGGAAAUAUAUUUUUCAGUGUCGCAGCGAAAGCAUUAAGCACACCGCCUGGGGAGUACGACCGC
rnacentral:rRNA from 1 species